UAGGGACUUUCCAAGCCGUCUGAGCACGAACUUCCUCCUCAGCAUUGGCUGAGCGGCAAUUAAAAAAAAACCCAGAUCAACCUGCACAUAUCGCUCUGUCUCAGCUCUGGAGUGAAGUCUCUUGUGUUGUAGGUAGCUCUGUCUCAGUUCAGCUUAGUGGAGACUGUCUCAUCAUGUCAGCCGACGAGCAGCAGAAUGCUUUGCUGAACAAUUCGCAGCAGGAUAUCGCUAGCCAGACUAGUGUGGAAACGAGGACUACUGUCGCCAGCCAGAGCAGCCGCACCCGCUCCAAGGGCCUUCUCUGGGGUGGUGUGACCGUGUUGGCGGCCAUACUGAUCGCCGGGCAAGUUGCCAGCGUUGUUUUUUUGGUGAAGCAGCAGGGCACGAUAACCCGCCUGCAGCAGACGACCAAUCUCAUCCAGCAGAAGUACACCUCAAGCCAGAACCGACUCCCAUCUAAGCCAAUGAUGCAUGUCAAACCUAUGAUUUUAGACAUGCCCAUGGCCUACAUUGACCCAAAUGCAGAACAUCCAAAGUCUCCGAAACCCACUCCUGCCAAACCCCUGACUGUGCUGGAACAAGUGCGGGAACUGCUGAAGAAAGAGAAUGUAACCAACGAGAUUCCAGAAUUUAACAGCACUUUCUCUGCCAACCUCGACCUGCUGCGAAGCAGCAUGACGGAAUCUGAAUGGCAGGGCUUCGAAACUUGGCUCCGAAACUGGCUCUUCUUCCAGCUCAUUCAAGAGAAGAAGCCUGCUCCAACAACCAGUGCACCCCGAUUCGACCCUAUGCCUGAACCUAAACCUAAACCAAGUGAGAGAAAGAUUUUCUCCAGUGUUGUGGUGAAGCCAAUGAUGGUUAACCUUCCAGAACCUGAAAAAGCUCCUGUAUCAAAGAAAGUGCGCAGCGUGGACACCGAGUGUGAGAGACGUCGCCAAGCGAAGAUUGUUCCUGGAGUUUACCGCCCCACUUGUGAUGAGAUGGGAAAUUAUGAGGCAAAGCAAUGUUGGCCGAGCACAGGCUUCUGCUGGUGCUCCUAUCCGAAUGGAACAGAGAUCUCAGGAACAUCCACACGCGGGCAUUUAAGCUGCGAACUGCGCAGCGUGGACACCGAGUGUGAGAGACGUCGCCAAGCGAAGAUUGUUCCUGGAGUUUACCGCCCCACUUGUGAUGAGAUGGGAAAUUAUGAGGCAAAGCAAUGUUGGCCGAGCACAGGCUUCUGCUGGUGCUCCUAUCCGAAUGGAACAGAGAUCUCAGGAACAUCCACACGCGGGCAUUUAAGCUGCGAACGCUUUAUAAACUAAGAUGAUCUGAGCGUGUCUGGCUUGGCAGCAAAUCUAAAGCAGUGUUCUCUGAAACGGCUUAGUGUGAAGGCGCAUUAACGGUGAAUUAAGAGCUCGCGGUGGACAAGCAAGCAAAAUCUGACUGGCUUCACUCCAGAAAUUAUACAUUAAUUGCAACUUCUGAUUUUUAUUAACCUUGGGUAUGAUUGCUAACUGUUGAGAGCUGAUCUCCUUAUCUGGCUGAUGUACUUUCCAUUUUUGUUCAAGACUUACCCUCUGAUUUUAUUUUAAACAGAAAAACAAAUUGCCCAAAUCUUUGACAUCGCUCACGUUACUUCCCUAAAAAGAGUACUGUUUCCACUAGACAUUCCAUAGGAAUAUUUUGGUCCCAUUUCCUUGCAGAGUGUGGUUACAACACCUGAUUGUGCCCAGCACCCUCACCAGAAGUUUGUUCUGUUCUCCUGCCAAUUAUGGCUGGAGAACUAGAAUGACAUCCCACAGAUUUCAAAGUCCCCUAAGCUUGUCAAUGAGUUGCUUUGGAAAUUCAAGAGACCUGGAUUUUAAAAUGCCACACAGGACCGAUGUAAUUGUGUGAAUCCCAAAGAAUUCUAGACUGCUACAAAGGAAAAUCAGUAGCCUUGUAGUGGAACCCCGGAAUUAGUAAUAGUCUUUCGGUAACACAAAAAACCUGGAUGAGAUACAAAAGAGGAUGAUGGUUUUGAAGUUGGCUCUCUUCAUUAGGAGGCGUUCUGCUGAUGAGUUCCAACCCUCCUGGCUUGUCCACCUCAAUUUGAAAUUAAGACCCCAAUUCAUUCAUUUACUCUGGUUUACUACGCUGGACUAACUGCAGUGGUGGAAUAUCACCACAUAGACAGCAGAAGAAGAUUAUCAUCCUGCGUCAACUGGGAUGCUCCGUAAAUGUCAGCUUUGACAGCCCCCACCCCCACCAAAUUUGGGUUUGUCAGUGGGCAGAAACAGUAAAUGUUGGCCUUGCCUGCACCACCAUCCCCCCCUACACACACACACACACACACACACACACACACACACACACACACACACACACAUAUUUGGGUUUGUCAGUGGGCAGAAACACGUUCCUUGAUAGUUUUGCUUUUUGAAGUGAAGUGAUUUUUGCCCACCAGUCCAUACUUUCGGAGUUUGAGCCUGUUGGCGAGAUAUCACUUUAUAUUCCCAAGCCAUCCUUCACCAGAUCCCAUAUUAUAACUGUGUAACUGUUUUGUUUUUGAUUAUGUAGAACAGAAAUAGACCUAACGGCUCAGCCAAUCCAUGCUGGUGUUCAUACUUCACUAGGCUCUUCUCCCUUAUUUUCUCACCUAAAUUGGCCAUCGUAAUCCUUCUCCCACAAAGGCUUGAUGAUAAAUAACAAGGUGGAUAUAAUCCUGAUGAGGGACCAUCAGCAGAAGGUCAUUAUACACAAUCGCUUUUUUAAAAAGCUGGUAUUGUCUGUAAGCUACUUGUGAAAACUGUCAUUGCUUCCUGAUUUUUUUAAUUAUUAUUUGUAACGCAAUGGUGAUCGCUUAACUGUCGAUGGGGAUAAUUAUUUUGCAAUAAAGGGAGGGAAUUCUGUUCGUGUGUUCUAUUUUGGACAAUAGAGGUGUCUAGAUCUGGCUUCAAAUGAAAAGUUAAGUCUGUGUCUGGUUCUUGGAGCCCAGAAACAAGGCCUUAAUCCUUUUAUCAAGGCCGAUGAGGGUGAGUAGUGACUGGAAACGAUUUAAUGGCAGGGUUGCCAAAUUUCUGGGAGCCUUCAAAAAUGACCAAUCAAUUGACAGGACAAUGCUAGUGAAGAAUCAUCAUUGGCACAUAUCAAAAUAAUUCUGUGUGUUGUUUCUUUCGAGCCUUUAUGGGUGGUAGUGUGGGUAAAAAAGCCACUUUGGUUGACACUGGAGCCUCAGCCUAAUCUUCGAGCUACGGGCCUGGUUAUUUGGGAUGGGUGUGCAGGUUGGGUGAACAUUGGCAGGAAUUUCUGGAUGAGGAGAUGGGGAUAGUAGGUCAUAUGAUGAAGCCUCCUGGAAUAUGACAGACUACCAUUCAGAACUCAGUUUUUCAGUGCUUUUGUCUUUUUUUUUGUUUCCUGCGCAUUCAUGUACUCAGGAUCAAGGCAACUAUUCUAGAAAGAAAAAGUAAAAUCUGAAAGGCCAUGAGAAUAAAGACUUGACGAAA